rnacentral:rRNA from 1 species
CCUGGGGAUAACAGGCUUAUCUCCCCCAAGAGUCCACAUCGACGGGGAGGUUUGGCACCUCGAUGUCGGCUCAUCACAUCCUGGGGCGGUAGUAGGUCCCAAGGGUUGGGCUGUUCGCCCAUUAAAGGGGUACGCGAGCUGGGUUCAGAACGUCGUGAGACAGUUCGGUCCCUAUCCGUCGCAGGCGUAGGAAAUUUGAGAAGACCUGUCCUUAG